rnacentral:rRNA from 1 species
GACGAACGCUGGCGGCGUGCUUAACACAUGCAAGUCGAGCGGUAAGGCCCUUUCGGGGGUACGACGAGCGGCGAACGGGUGAGUAACACGUGGGUGACCUGCCCUCCAGCUCUGGGAUAAGCCUGGGAAACCGGGUCUAAUACCGGAUAUGACUCCAUGACGCAUGUUGUGGGGUGGAAAGCCUUGUGCGGCUGAGGAUGGGCCCGCGGCCUAUCAGCUUGUUGGUGGGGUGAUGGCCUACCAAGGCGACGACGGGUAGCCGGCCUGAGAGGGCGACCGGCCACACUGGGACUGAGACACGGCCCAGACUCCUACGGGAGGCAGCAGUGGGGAAGUCUUGCGCAAUGGGCGAAAGCCUGACGCAGCGACGCCGCGUGA